UGUAAAUGAUAAGAAUUACCAUCUAGUGAUUAAAUACUACAUUUAAUUGCUAUGUCCAAAAAUGCCCUUGAAAUUAUAUGCAAAAUUACCAAAAUGCCCUUUUUGGCUUAUUAGUGUAUUAUUAGUGUAUUAUUGGAGGAAUCUUGCUAGCAAAGCAUGGCAAACAUGAUUACCCUACCAAUUGAGCAUCCAAUACUCAAUUAUG
rnacentral:lncRNA from 1 species